GCGCUUCUAGCAAAGUUGCAAAGCAACGGGCAGACCUGUCAGAACGGUGAAGAUCCCGGCGAUGGAAAAAAGGCGAAACUGCUCCGCGUAGGCUGCUCGGAGUGGCAUCGCACCUUGUUCGAGUCCGAAGAAGUUCCCGCUUCUCUAAGCCGGCUGAAGGGAUGCGAGUCUCCUCUUGUCCCAACGGGACUGUGUCCUGACACAGAGUGGACUCCGCCCCAAGAGUGCGAGCGUCCUGAGCGUUCAGGGCAUCCUGAGCCGCGGAAGGCAUCCGGCCACACCCCGCUCUUUACCCGCCAACGCCAGCCCAGGUGGCCAGGCUCAGAAUGGACUGUGAGCCUGUGUGUUAUGCAUCUCUGGUUGUAGAGACAAAAGGACAAAGAUGGAACCCACCAAGGAUGCUCCCGGCUGAAUGAAUUGUUGUUCUCUGGCUUACACAAAGUCAAGCGAAUGAUCGUCCCAUGUUAUGUAAUAUAGCAACGGCCUGCUUACCUUACUCCUUUAAUCUACGUUAUUCUGGAAAGUAACACUUGAAAUAAAAAGUAGAUACAUUCUACUGGGAAUGUGACCCUCAGAGAAGGAAAGAAAGACCGAGGGGUUGAACCUGAACACGUGAAAGAGAAUCCAAGGUAAUUGGGGAAGCAUUGUCAAGAGCUCACUAGCUAUUUAAGAAAAAAGCAUCCCAUGUAUCUUAAUAAAUUUUGUCUGAUUGAUGGCUUUUUGAUGGGCCAGAGAGGAGUGAGAGAGAGCCAGAGAGACACAGAGACAGGCAGACAGACAGCAAGGAGGAGUUUUCUUCUCUAUCAGCAGCUAUCUCUGUGUGAGGGUUUCUCCCUUCAAAUGUCAAUUCUGCCAUCCCUGUAGGGAACCUGCUUGGUACUGCCACAUCAGAGAAGCCUCGGGUAAGGAGACUGGAUGCUUGGAAUCAUGGAUACUCAGAGCACUGUUAACAAAGAGCAGAGUCCAGUCUUCCAGAGUCAUGACCUGAAUCCAAAGUUGAAAAGAUCUGAGCAGUGUAUAAACAGCCUGUCAUAACCUGCAUAAUACAUUUUUAGUCCUGAAUAAAUCUAUUCACACUUCUUUCUAUAAUCAUACUUAUGUAGAUAAGGUUGGCAGGAGGAAGGUGAAGUAUAUUUGAAGGUAUAUGUUUAUAACAGCUUUAACCUCAAGUCAUGUUUAUUUAUAAGAGAAAACGACAGUGGAAUUUGGAAAAUUAAGAAAUGAUUCUUACCAGACAGUGGUGGCACACACCUUGAAUCCAGCACUUGGGAGAUGGAGGCAGGUAGUUCUCCAAUUUUGAGGACAGUCCAGUCUACAGAGUGCGUCAGAGGACAAUCACAGGACCACGUAGAGGAAUUUUAUCUCGAAAGAUUGAAAAAGUAAAGCCUGAUUCUACUCAAAAUGUUUGAGCAGUAGGGAGAGUGUCAGAUAUCUGGUCUCACACAGUCUCAUGAACAGCUGCUUUGGGGGAAGGGCCGAAGGAAGAAAACUCUCGUGUGAGCUUUAUAAAUUCUCGCCAUAGACUUUCCCUAAGAGACUCUUUCCUGUUCUCGUGAUGCACUAAUGACAGAAAUCAUAUGACUAAUGGAGAGAAACUGGUAGAUAUACAAGAAGAACUGCAUUGGGAUAACCGCCAUCUUACAAAGGGUCAGUGUUAACAUUUGUCAAUGUAUCCUGUGAUGAGUCAUUCAACUUGGUACAUGUUGAGUUCUAUAGAGUACAUGACACUCUUAUGCCUGUGAGCAAGCCAUAAUGUAAAAUAAUUCAUCCAAACCCAUAGGAGUGUGUGUCUUUUGUAAGGCACGCAUCAGAAUAUUUACACACUCAUGUCAUAAACUGGAUCACUGACCAAGUCCCAACAAAUUUCAAAAGACUGAAACCAUAUUUAAUAUGAAUAACCUGAAAAUCAAGCAUAUAAAGUUGUCAAAGGAUUCCAAAUGCUUGCAAUGUAAGAAGCAGAAUCCCCAAUGGCUAAUGAGUUGGAAAAUUGAAUUAGAAAUUAGAAUAUGUUUUGAGAUGACUUCUGAUUUUAAAAAUACUAUGAGACAGUGUGAAACUGACUGUUUAUGGGACCUGGAUAUGGUGAUGCACAUUUGUUUGUUUGUUUUUUCUUCAAUAAUUUUUUUAAUUAGGUAUUUUCCUCAUUUACAUUUCCAAUGCUAUCCCAAAAGUCCCCCAUACCCUCCCACCCACCCCUACCCCCACUUUUUGGCCCUGGCGUUCCCCUGUACUGGGGCAUAUAAAGUUUGCAAGUCCAAUGGGCCUCUCUUUCCAGUGAUGGCCGACUAGGCCAUCUUUUGAUACAUAUGCAGCUAGAGUCAAGAGCUCGAGGGUACUGGUUAGUUCAUAGUGUUGUUCCACCUAUAGGGUUGCAGUUCCCUUUAGCUCCUUGGGUCCUUUCUCUAGCUCCUCAAUUGGGGGCCCUGUGAUCCAUCCAAUAGCUGAUUGUGAGCAUCCACUUCUGUUUUUGCUAGGCCCCGGCAUAGUCUCAAAAGAGACAGCUAUAUCUGGGUCCUUUCAGCAAAAUCUUGCUAGUGCGUGCAAUGGUGUCAGCGUUUGGAAGCUGAUUAUGGGAUGGAUCCUUGGAUAUGGCAGUCUCUAGAUGUCCAUCCUUUUGUCUCAGCUCCAAAAUUUGUCUCUGUAACUCCUUCCAUGGGUGUUUUGUUCCCAAUUCUAAGAAGGGGCACAGUGUCCACACUUUGGUCUUCGUUCUUCUUGAGUUUCAUGUGUUUAGCAAAUUGUAUCUUAUAUCUUGGGUAUCCUAAGUUUUUGGGCUAAUAUCCACUUAUCAGUGAGUACAUAUUGGUGAGUUCCUUUGUGAUUGUGUUACCUCACUCAAGAUGAUGUCCUCCAGGUCCAUCCAUUUGCCUAGGAAUUUCAUAAAUUCAUUCUUUUU
rnacentral:lncRNA from 1 species